AAUCUCUUUUCUUCCGCACAGAUUUCUGCAUCCUCUCAGUCAUGAUGAUAAAGGAUUUACUACCUCAGUCAUGUCACCACUCUUGAAUAUCAUUCCCAUGGCAUGGUGCAGUAGGAACUGGUUGACUUUUAAAACUAAGUUAUAAUAAUCUUAAAGCGAUUGGAAAUUGAGAAGAAUGUAAUGGAAAAUAUAUUUAUAUGGCUUGGUUAGCCAAAAUUCCCUCAUAAAGCACCAACCUGCAGGAUCCCUUAGCAAUUUACUGAAGAUGAAAAAUAAGCAGAACAACUUUUUAUAGGUCUGUAGUCACUAGAGAUUAAUUACAAACACUAGGUGUAUUUUAACCUAAUUCUUGGUUCCUGAAAAGCACUGCAGAUGACAGCAACAAAAGAUAAUACCUGCUUUUACCACGGGGGAAAAAAAUGGAUAACUGGAACACAUACUUUGAGAAAUGACUGCUGAGAAGAAUUGGAAAGGGACUGGAAGCAAUGAUGGCUAAAGAAUCUCGAGAAGGAAGACAGACUAUACAUAUUUUUUCUAG
rnacentral:lncRNA from 1 species